rnacentral:rRNA from 1 species
CAGUCGCCGCGGUAAUACGUAGGUGGCAAGCGUUGUCCGGAAUUAUUGGGCGUAAAGGGCUCGCAGGCGGUUUCUUGAGUCUGAUGUGAAAGCCCCCGGCUCAACCGGGGAGGGUCAUUGGAAACUGGGAAACUUGAGUGCAGAAGAGGAGAGUGGAAUUCCACGUGUAGCGGUGAAAUGCGUAGAGAUGUGGAGGAACACCAGUGGCGAAGGCGACUCUCUGGUCUGUAACUGACGCUGAGGAGCGAAAGCGUGGGGAGCGAACAGGAUUAGAUACCCGUGUAGUCCCUGUCUCUUAUAC